CAGUUGCCUCCAACCAAGUUUCAUUUAUCCCCAUUUGACCUCAUUUCCCUUUGGUAGAAUCCAAUUUGCAGGCGUUAAAUCGGAAAAAAAAAAUAAUAUGAAAAUCCAUCAAAGAAAACCGGGAAUGAGAGCUCUUCCAUAAAUCGAUCACCAGGUCCAGGUGCGUGCUUCUCACCCCCUUCCCCUUCAAGUUCGAUUUGCUGGAGUAGGUAAAGGGAAAAACGAUAACGGUUCAUGUCUCUCUCGUCGGUUCCUCCCACACCACCACCUCCAGCGCCACCCUCAUCCAUCAUUAGCCUCCCCUUUUCCACCCGCGUCUUCCUCCCCGGGAUAUGGUGUUAAUCGAUUCAGAGUCGGCUCCUUCUCCUCCGACGUCGUCUGCUUCUCCAGAGUACCUCCGACACUCCUCGUCAUUUGCGAAGAAUCCAAAAAAUCAAAUUUAUCAAAAAUAAUUUGAAGUGUCUGCAAAGGUAUAUAUUCAAUUAUGUUUCACUUAUAUUUUUAGUUAAUUUAAAAAACCAUGUUUUAUGUUUUCGCCAAUUUAUGCAACUAACAUCCUUAAUAAAACAAUGAUUCACCUUUUUACCAAUAUAUGUAUGGGUUAUUCUUGUUGUGUCGAUUGUGGUGCGGAAGCACUCAAUUUGAUUUGCAGUUGCAUGAAAGACAAUCUGAAAUGGAUGUGCGACAAACACAAUUACAAGAAAAUGGCGGCCAUUUUGAGACAUUUGAACAAACCACUUUAUAAUCCGAUAAAUAGUUCUUAGCGAUAUGUUUUUGUUAAACAUUUGUAAUGUAUUUGACAAUUUUCCUUAUAAUGAGUGUUAUUUUUUGUGGUUGAAUAAGAAUAUAAAUUUAGGUCUAA